GCCCUUAGAGUUUGAUCCUGGCUCAGAUUGAACGCUGGCGGCAUGCCUAACACAUGCAAGUCGAGCGGCAGCAGGUCCUUCGGGACGCUGGCGAGCGGCGGACGGGUGAGUAACACGUGGGAAUCUACCUUUCGGUGGGGGAUAGCCCGAGGAAACUCGGAUUAAUACCGCAUACGCCCUUCUGGGCAAAGCAGGCCUCUGAUUCAAGCUUGCGCCGAUAGAUGAGCCCGCGCCCGAUUAGCUAGUUGGUGGGGUAAAGGCCUACCAAGGCGACGAUCGGUAGCUGGUCUGAGAGGACGAUCAGCCACACCGGAACUGAGACACGGUCCGGACUCCUACGGGAGGCAGCAGUGGGGAAUAUUGGACAAUGGGCGAAAGCCUGAUCCAGCAAUGCCGCGUGGGUGAAGAAGGCUUGCGGGUUGUAAAGCCCUUUCAGCGGGGAGGAAAAGCGUACGGUUAAUACCUGUGCGUCUUGACGUUACCUGCAGAAGAAGCACCCGGCUAACUCCGUGCC
rnacentral:rRNA from 1 species